rnacentral:rRNA from 1 species
GUUUGAUCCUGGCUCAGAACGUACGCUGGCGGCACGCCUAACACAUGCAAGUCGAACGCAGUAGCAAUACUGAGUGGCAAACGGGUGAGUAUAAUGUGGGAAUCUGCCUUUUGGUUCGGAAUAACACGAGGAAACUUGUGCUAAUACCGGAUAAGCCCUUACGGGGAAAGUUUUAACGCCGAAAGAUGAGCCCGCACUUGAUUAGCUAGUUGGUAAGGUAAAAGCUUACCAAGGCAACGAUCAAUAGCUGUUCUUAGAGGAAGACCAGCCACAUUGGGACUGAGACACGGCCCAAACUCCUACGGGAGGCAGCAGUGGGGAAUCUUGCACAAUGGGGGAAACCCUGAUGCAGCGAUGCCGCGUGAGUGAAGAAGGCCUUUGGGUUGUAAAACUCUUUCGUCGGGGAAGAAAAUGACUGUACCCGAAUAAGAAGGUCCGGCUAACUUCGUGCCAGCAGCCGCGGUAAUACGAAGGGACCUAGCGUAGUUCGGAAUUACUGGGCUUAAAGAGUUCGUAGGUGGUUGAAAAAGUUGGUGGUGAAAUCCCAGAGCUUAACUCUGGAACUGCCAUCAAAACUUUUCAGCUAGAGUAUGAUAGAGGAAAGCAGAAUUUCUAGUGUAGAGGUGAAAUUCGUAGAUAUUAGAAAGAAUACCAAUUGCGAAGGCAGCUUUCUGGAUCAUUACUGACACUGAGGAACGAAAGCAUGGGUAGCGAAGAGGAUUAGAUACCCUCGUAGUCCAUGCCGUAAACGAUGUGUGUUAGACGUUGGAAAUUUAUUUUCAGUGUCGCAGGGAAACCGAUAAACACACCGCCUGGGGAGUACGACCGCAAGGUUAAAACUCAAAUGAAUUGACG